rnacentral:lncRNA from 1 species
GUCCUGCCUUUUUAUUUUUUACUCUAUACGGUCCUGCCUUUUUUUUUACUAGUUUAUCCUGACUUUUUUUUACACAAAUUGUCAUCCUGCCUUUUUUUUUAACAAGUUUCUCAUCCUGCCUUUUUUUUUACUCAAAACUCCUGUCCUGCCUAUUUUUUUCAAAUUUCAUCCUAGCCCCCCCAUAAAAAUCAAAUGGUAGCUCCCUUAUAGUUGAUGCGUUUCCCUCGGUUUUUUUUGUUACCCGGAUUUGUUUUCUCUAAACCUAUUUAUGACAUUUGAACGCCGGUAUACUACUGUUGCAUUUUUUUUAUUUUAUUCCAUUCAGUGCUCCUCCAGAAGAAGCAUUUAUUAUGUAUUUCACGUGGUUUCUUACUAAGUCCCCCUGCUGGCGGCCAUCUUGGAUGAUGGUUAGACUAUAAAGAAACAACACUUGGUCAGCGCUUCAUUACGAACAUUUGUGCCGUGUUUGGUUUCAUUCUAUAUGAUGUUAUCUAGAAGAACACAUUUAUUAUUUCCAAUAAGAUCUUAUGUUAAACUUACUUCCCCUGCUGGCAGCCAUCUUUGAUAACAAAUCAGCUAUAAAGUAACAACACUUGGUCAGCACCUCAAAAUAAACAUUCAUGCCAUGUUUGUUUUCAUUCCAUUCAGUGGUUCUCUAAAAGGAGACAUUU